UGGGGAAUAUUGGACAAUGGGCGCAAGCCUGAUCCAGCCAUGCCGCGUGAGUGAUGAAGGCCUUCGGGUCGUAAAGCUCUUUUACCAGGGAUGAUAAUGACAGUACCUGGAGAAUAAGCUCCGGCUAACUCCGUG
rnacentral:rRNA from 1 species